GAGAUGGGCCCGCGGCCCAUUAGCUAGUUGGUGAGUAAACGGCUCACCAAGGCGACGAUGCGUAGCCGACCUGAGAGGGUGAUCGGCCACAUUGGGACUGAGACACGGCCCAGACUCCUACGGGAGGCAGCAGUGGGGAAUAUUGCACAAUGGGGGAAACCCUGAUGCAGCAACGCCGCGUGAGUGAUGACGGCCUUCGGGUUGUAAAGCUCUGUCUUCAGGGACGAUAAUGACGGUACCUGAGGAGGAAGCCACGGCUAACUACGUGCCAGCAGCCGCGGUAAUACGUAGGUGGCGAGCGUUGUCCGGAUUUACUGGGCGUAAAGGGAGCGUAGGCGGAUUUUUAAGUGAGAUGUGAAAUACUCGGGCUUAACCUGAGUGCUGCAUUUCAAACUGGAAGUCUAGAGUGCAGGAGAGGAGAAGGGAAUUCCUAGUGUAGCGGUGAAAUGCGUAGAGAUUAGGAAGAACACCAGUGGCGAAGGCGCUUCUCUGGACUGUAACUGACGCUGAGGCUCGAAAGCGUGGGGAGCAAACAAGAUUAGAUACCCUGGUAGUCCACGCCGUAAACGCCCACUAAGAGGAAUAGGGGUUUUCAUGACCUCUGUGCCGCCGCUAACGCAUUAAGUAUUCCGCCUGGGGAGUACGGUCGCAAGAUUAAAACUCAAAGGAAUUGACGGGGGCCCGCACAAGCAGCGGAGCAUGUGGUUUAAUUCGAAGCAACGCGAAGAACCUUACCUAGACUUGACAUCUCCUGCAUUACUCUUAAUCGAGGAAGUCCCUUCGGGGACAGGAUGACAGGUGGUGCAUGGUUGUCGUCAGCUCGUGUCGUGAGAUGUUGGGUUAAGUCCCGCAACGAGCGCAACCCUUAUUGUUAGUUGCCAUCAUUAAGUUGGGCACUCUAGCGAGACUGCCCGGGUUAACCGGGAGGAAGGUGGGGAUGACGUCAGAUCAGCACGGCCCUUAUGUCCGGGGCGACACACGUGUUACAAUGGAUGGUACAACAGGCAGCUACUUGGCGACAAGAUGCUAAUCCCAAAAACCAUUCUCAGUUCGGAUCGAAGUCUGCAACUCGACUUCGUGAAGCUGGAUUCGCUAGUAAUCGCGCAUCAGCCACGGCGCGGUGAAUACGUUCCCGGGCCUUGUACACACCGCCCGUCA
rnacentral:rRNA from 1 species